GCAUCAGUGGUGUAACGGUAACAUUGGAGCUUCCCAUCACUGGGUUGCCACAGGCAAUACAAUGCUCUAGCCUCGGGUUCGACUCCCGGCUGAUGCA
rnacentral:tRNA from 1 species